GUACUUGCUUUGGCAGUACAUAUACUAAAAUUGGAAUGAUACAGAGAAGAUUAGCAUGGCUCCUGUGAAAAAAGAUGACAUGCAAAUUCGUGAAACAUUCCAUAUUUUU